AUAGCGGAGGAAAAGAAACUAACAAGGAUUCCCCUAGUAACUGCGAGUGAAGCGGGAAGAGCUCAAAUUUAAAAUCUGGCGGUCUGUGGCCGUCCGAGUUGUAGUCUGUAGAGGCAUUUUCCGCGUUGGACCGUGUACAAGUCUCCUGGAAUGGAGCGUCAUAGAGGGUGAGAAUCCCGUCCAUGACACGGACUGCCAAUGCUCUGUGAUAUGCCUUCGAAGAGUCGCGUUGUUUGGGAAUGCAGCGCAAAAUGGGUGGUAAAUUCCAUCUAAAGCUAAAUAUUGGCGAGAGACCGAUAGCGAACAAGUACCGUGAGGGAAAGAUGAAAAGCACUUUGGAAAGAGAGUUAAACAGUACGUGAAAUUGUUGAAAGGGAAACGCUUGAAGUCAGUCGCGUCUCGUGGAACUCAGCCUUGCUUCGGCUUGGUGUACUUUCCAUGUGGACGGGUCAACAUCAAUUUUGGCCGGUGGAUAAAGGUGGGAGGAAUGUAGCGUUGUUUCGACGACGUGUUAUAGCCUCUUGUUGUAUACACUGGCUGGGAUUGAGGACUGCAGCACGCCCUUGUGGCCGGGGGUUCGCCCUACGUACCGUGCUUAGGAUGUUGGCAUAAUGGCUUUAAGCGACCCGUCUUGAAACACGGACCAAGGAGUCUAACAUGCUUGCGAGUGUUCGGGUGGAAAACCCUUGCGCGUAAUGAAAGUGAAAGUUAGGAUCCCUCGCAAGAGGGUGCACUGACGCCCGGCCCUGACGUUCUCUGACGGUGCUGCGGUAGAGCAAGUAUGUUGGGACCCGAAAGAUGGUGAACUAUGCCUGAAUAGGGCGAAGCCAGAGGAAACUCUGGUGGAGGCUCGUAGCGAUUCUGACGUGCAAAUCGAUCGUCAAAUUUGGGUAUAGGGGCGAAAGACUAAUCGAAC
rnacentral:rRNA from 1 species